rnacentral:rRNA from 1 species
UGGGCGCAAGCCUGAUGCAGCCAUGCCGCGUGUAUGAAGAAGGCCUUCGGGUUGUAAAGUACUUUCAGCAGUGAGGAAGGUGGGUAUGUUAAUAGCAUAUUCAUUUGACGUUAGCUGCAGAAGAAGCACCGGCUAACUCCGUGCCAGCAGCCGCGGUAAUACGGAGGGUGCGAGCGUUAAUCGGAAUUACUGGGCGUAAAGCGCAUGCAGGUGGUUUGUUAAGUCAGAUGUGAAAGCCCGGGGCUCAACCUCGGAAUUGCAUUUGAAACUGGCAAACUAGAGUACUGUAGAGGGGGUAGAAUUUCAGGUGUAGCGGUGAAAUGCGUAGAGAUCUGAAGGAAUACCGGUGGCGAAGGCGGCCCCCUGGACAGAUACUGACACUCAGAUGCGAAAGCGUGGGGAGCAAACAGGAUUAGAUACCCUGGUAG